CAACAGCCACGUAUACUGCACCUUACAGUUACCAGCCAGGCUAUCUUGUAUACAUUAGGUGCCUAAUUAGUCCUGUGAAAUCAAGCUUCUCAGCUAUUGAAGUUAGACAUGGCAACUCAACAGGAGGAAUAGAGGCCCAAGAGCCAGCAAAGUCUGGAAAUACAUGUAUUACUGGGUCACUGGAUCUAACUCAUCUUGUCGAAGUUUUUGGUUCUUCAAGUUUGUUUAGUUUGUUGGUCCAGAGAUCAUUGUGUGAUGCUGUUGCUGUGUUGGUCUCAUCCUCUUCCAUCGCUGGUUCAAGCAACUGUGUGUGUGGCAGAAUUUGUUCUUCAGUAAGGUCUCAGGGAGUCCUUCAAGCAUAUCCUGACUUUAGGAAGCCAGUUCUACACCCAGUGCAGAUGGUGCAUUUCCUUUUCUGAGGACGAGUGGGAGAGCAAUAAAAUGCUUCACCUUAUGCUGGCAGAUGUACACUUUCUAUGUUUGCAACAUGUUCACCUUUACUCCGAGGUGAUUUUUACCAACACAUGGACCUCGUUCUUCUUGCACAAACAACUGUUUCUAGGAUACUGGUAAGAAGAGUUAAAGGGCAGAGAUCCAGUUGGUUGCUCCUUGCCAUUGGUAAGGAUGAAGAUUUCCUCAACCUCUCAUUUGGGGGAAGUUGUUUAGGUCUUGGAGAUAUUGAUGGUAAUUUCUGUUCUCAGAGUAGGACCGGAUGCACUGCAGAGAUUUCACGAAAUCCUACUGAAUCAUAUUUAAAUUUAUCUAAACUGAAAUUUAUAUAAACUAGAAAUAUAUUUAGACUAGACUAGAAAAUAGAUAAACUACUUUUCAUUUACUCAGUACAUCUUAAAGUCAUCCAAAAACUAAUGCUGUAAACAUGAUAUUGGAAAACAUGGUCUAGAAAGUAUUGAAAACAAUCUUUAUUAUUUCAAAAGGAGUUGAGCAGCUCCCUUAAUACCUCACAGGUGCUGAUCUCCAGCCAAUCAUCUGUCCAAUACCACAUGUACACUUUCCUUUCCUUACAUGAUCUAUGGCUAAUUAGGUCAAAUUUAUAUUUUAAACAAAUUCCAAGCACUUUUAUUACAAAAAUUAAGACUGAACUCUAUUUUUUAUGAUUUUGACAUCUUCCUUACUCUUUCCAUUAAUAAGGAAGAGACAGCUGUAAAUCACAGCUUCUCAUCUGGCUCUCUUAGCUUGUUCAUUAAUGUGGUCUCUUGCAUGGUUUUCGUAAAAAUGAUUGCUUUUGUAUAUACUUCUUCUUCUGUAUGUAUGGGACCCAAGGUAGAAUGCUAAGUGUGAACCUUUUCCGAGCUAUCUAAAAAGAGAGACAAAACUGAGUUUUAAUUUAUUUCAGGGCUAUCAUGAAAGUUUUAUAGUCUGAAUUAGGGCUUUACCCCCUCAAUAUCCUUCCAAACUUAAUGCAUCAAAAAAGUAAAAUUGGUUUAGAUUUGCCACAUUAUUAACCUAUUUAAGAUGAUAUUAAACAUUUAAUUAUCCAUUUCAAUAAAGGAAAACAGAUUGCUACAAAAGAGGUUCAAAUUUAGGCCACUAUAUUUUCUUUCUUUUUUUUUUUUUUUU